AUUGAACGCUGGCGGCAUGCCUUACACAUGCAAGUCGAACGGCAGCGGGGGAGGAGCUUGCUUUUCCUGCCGGCGAGUGGCGAACGGGUGAGUAAUACAUCGGAACGUGCCCGGUAGUGGGGGAUAACUAGUCGAAAGAUUAGCUAAUACCGCAUACGACCUGAGGGUGAAAGGGGGGGACCGCAAGGCCUCCUGCUCUAGGAGCGGCCGAUGUCUGAUUAGCUAGUUGGUGGGGUAAAGGCCUACCAAGGCGACGAUCAGUAGCUGGUCUGAGAGGACGAUCAGCCACACUGGGACUGAGACACGGCCCAGACUCCUACGGGAGGCAGCAGUGGGGAAUUUUGGACAAUGGGCGAAAGCCUGAUCCAGCAAUGCCGCGUGUGUGAAGAAGGCCUUCGGGUUGUAAAGCACUUUUGUCCGGAAAGAAAUGGCUCUGGUUAAUACCUGGGGUCGAUGACGGUACCGGAAGAAUAAGGACCGGCUAACUACGUGCCAGCAGCCGCAGUAA
rnacentral:rRNA from 1 species